UUUAUGGAGAGUUUGAUCCUGGCUCAGGAUGAACGCUGGCGGCGUGCCUAAUACAUGCAAGUCGAGCGAACGGACGAGAAGCUUGCUUCUCUGAUGUUAGCGGCGGACGGGUGAGUAACACGUGGAUAACCUACCUAUAAGACUGGGAUAACUUCGGGAAACCGGAGCUAAUACCGGAUAAUAUUUUGAACCGCAUGGUUCAAAAGUGAAAGACGGUCUUGCUGUCACUUAUAGAUGGAUCCGCGCUGCAUUAGCUAGUUGGUAAGGUAACGGCUUACCAAGGCAACGAUGCAUAGCCGACCUGAGAGGGUGAUCGGCCACACUGGAACUGAGACACGGUCCAGACUCCUACGGGAGGCAGCAGUAGGGAAUCUUCCGCAAUGGGCGAAAGCCUGACGGAGCAACGCCGCGUGAGUGAUGAAGGUCUUCGGAUCGUAAAACUCUGUUAUUAGGGAAGAACAUAUGUGUAAGUAACUGUGCACAUCUUGACGGUACCUAAUCAGAAAGCCACGGCUAACUACGUGCCAGCAGCCGCGGUAAUACGUAGGUGGCAAGCGUUAUCCGGAAUUAUUGGGCGUAAAGCGCGCGUAGGCGGUUUUUUAAGUCUGAUGUGAAAGCCCACGGCUCAACUGUGGAGGGUCAUUGGAAACUGGAAAACUUGAGUGCAGAAGAGGAAAGUGGAAUUCCAUGUGUAGCGGUGAAAUGCGCAGAGAUAUGGAGGAACACCAGUGGCGAAGGCGACUUUCUGGUCUGUAACUGACGCUGAUGUGCGAAAGCGUGGGGAUCAAACAGGAUUAGAUACCCUGGUAGUCCACGCCGUAAACGAUGAGUGCUAAGUGUUAGGGGGUUUCCGCCCCUUAGUGCUGCAGCUAACGCAUUAAGCACUCCGCCUGGGGAGUACGACCGCAAGGUUGAAACUCAAAGGAAUUGACGGGGACCCGCACAAGCGGUGGAGCAUGUGGUUUAAUUCGAAGCAACGCGAAGAACCUUACCAAAUCUUGACAUCCUUUGACAACUCUAGAGAUAGAGCCUUCCCCUUCGGGGGACAAAGUGACAGGUGGUGCAUGGUUGUCGUCAGCUCGUGUCGUGAGAUGUUGGGUUAAGUCCCGCAACGAGCGCAACCCUUAAGCUUAGUUGCCAUCAUUAAGUUGGGCACUCUAAGUUGACUGCCGGUGACAAACCGGAGGAAGGUGGGGAUGACGUCAAAUCAUCAUGCCCCUUAUGAUUUGGGCUACACACGUGCUACAAUGGACAAUACAAAGGGCAGCGAAACCGCGAGGUCAAGCAAAUCCCAUAAAGUUGUUCUCAGUUCGGAUUGUAGUCUGCAACUCGACUACAUGAAGCUGGAAUCGCUAGUAAUCGUAGAUCAGCAUGCUACGGUGAAUACGUUCCCGGGUCUUGUACACACCGCCCGUCACACCACGAGAGUUUGUAACACCCGAAGCCGGUGGAGUAACCUUUUAGGAGCUAGCCGUCGAAGGUGGGACAAAUGAUUGGGGUGAAGUCGUAACAAGGUAGCCGUAUCGGAAGGUGCGGCUGGAUCACCUCCUUU
rnacentral:rRNA from 1 species